GCUGAAAUUGCUCAGUUGGGAGAGCGUUAAACUGAAGAUCUAAAGGUCCAUGGUUCGAUCCUGGGUUUCGGCA
rnacentral:tRNA from 1 species